rnacentral:rRNA from 1 species
GACGAACCGAGCGAACGUUGUUCGGAAUCACUGGGCUUAAAGGGCGCGUAGGCGGGCAUUCAAGUCCGUGGUGAAAUCCGGCAGCUCAACUGUCGAACUGCCGCGGAUACUGGGUGUCUCGAGGGAGGUAGGGGCGUGCGGAACUAUUGGUGGAGCGGUGAAAUGCGUUGAUAUCGAUAGGAACUCCGGUGGCGAAGGCGGCGCGC